GAUGAAGAACGUAGCGAAAUGCGAUAAGUAAUGUGAAUUGCAGAAUUCAGUGAAUCAUCGAAUCUUUGAACGCACAUUGCGCCCGCCAGUAUUCUGGCGGGCAUGCCUGUUCGAGCGUCAUUUCAACCAUCAAGCCCUGCUUGCGUUGGGGUCCUGCGGCUGCCCGCAGGCCCUGAAAACCAGUGGCGGGCUCGCUAGUCACACCGAGCGCAGUAAUACAUCUCGCUUUGGGCGUGCGGCGGGUUCUUGCCGUUAAACACCCCCUUUUUACCAAGGUUGACCUCGGAUCAGGUAGGAAUACCCGCUGAACUUAAGCAUAUCAAUAGCGGAGGA
rnacentral:misc_RNA from 1 species